AUACGGAGGAUCCGAGCGUUAUCCGGAUUUAUUGGGUUUAAAGGGAGCGUAGGCGGGAGCUUAAGUCAGCGGUUAAAUGGUGCGGCUCAACCGUGCCCUGCCGUUGAAACUGGGUUUCUUGAGAGUGCAAGAGGCGGAUGGAAUUCAUGGUGUAGCGGUGAAAUGCUUAGAUAUCAUGAAGAACUCCGAUUGCGAAGGCAGUCCGCUGGGGCACGUCUGACGCUGAUGCUCGAAGGUGCGGGAAUCAAACAGGAUUAGAUACCCUGGUAGUCCGCACGGUAAACGAUGAUUACCCGCUGUCGGCGGCAGACAGUCGGCGGCCAAGCGAAAGCGAUAAGUAAUCCACCUGGGGAGUACGCCGGCAACGGUGAAACUCAAAUGAAUUGGCGGGG
rnacentral:rRNA from 1 species